GCGCACACGUGGCUCACGGUAACACCGCGCACGGGCAUCCUCUAUGUUACGGAUUCCGAGAGGCUGCGUGAAUUCAACCACUCCGAGACAGGUGUGCUACUUGAGGCAUCGUGGGAAGAAGAUGGGGAGAACGGCACCACCCGGCGUCACCUCUACCGCGUCGAAGUGCAUAUCCAGGAGUCUAAAGAUGACCAACAAGCGGAUCAGUGCGAAGGACGCCUCUGUGGUCAGCAACUGAGUGAGAC